UCUUUCCCUCUUUCCCUUUUAGUCUCACCUUAUCAUUGCUGCCACACUCACAGAACAACACAAUUUCACUUCACCUUCUCCAUUCGGUUUUCUCUGCCAUCUCUCUAAACUAGUGAAUUGAAGCUACCAUUCUAAUUCACUCUCCAAUUCUGCAGCAGCAAACGAACUUGGACCCAGGCAGAAAACUUCUCCCAUCAUUGAAUUCCCUCUUCAUCCAUCUCCCUAAGUUGUGCGUUUGGAGGUGCUCACUGUUAUAAAAAGGGGUCUUGCUUGUGAGUAAAUUCUAGAGAGCCGAAUCCAGAUGAUGAUGCCCCCCUUUUGAGCAAGAAUUGAUCCUUACUCAAUGCUGUUAUAGUUUUGGGCCAGAUUUUGUAGAGUUUUAACUUGACGCGUAGUUUAGGCAUUCUUCUUCUAUCUACCCUUGACUUCCAUGGAUUGUAUGGCUAUUUUUGGAUGACUGUACCAGCGGUAUAUACUUAUGUGUAUAUGACUGUUAUUCCUACUAUCUACUAUGCUUGAUCAUAAUAUAAUAUUUUUUAUUUGAUA